UUGCCAAAGGUUGUUGUGAGAGGAGCUUUCAAGGGGUGGGGGCAAGGCUAUUUGAGAAGGCACUGAAUAUAUUACCGAGAACUAGGGCGAAAAACCCACGGAGGAAUGUAGAUCGUGUGAUAUUUGUGGGUUAUUCCACUUACAUUGCCUGAAGUGAAUGAAUAUUCAACCGAAAGCAAUUUUAGUCUAGACUAUGAAUCUGUAACAACUUUAAUUUCCAUUAUGGGCUGAAUUUCAUCUCGACUGCGGAGAUGAAAAGGUCAUGAUCCAAUACGGUGCCGUCAUUCAGGAGACUUGCAAGGAUGCGGAGGGAGGGGUUUAUCUCUAAUAUUGUUCCUCGGUCCAUCGCAAAGCCGAUCAGACGCAGAAUCGCCCAGCCGGCUUUCGUUCUCCGACGGUGAGAUAAACAAAAUGUAUCGUUUACUAGAGCACUUCAACAUCUGCGACGAGAAGACUGCAAAGGACGACGACUGCCGACGCCUGGAGAAAGCAGAGGCUGUUACUGAAGGAGUCAGUUUAUCUCGUUCUAAGGACACCAGACGACUGUGUUUGAAAAAAUUGGAUUUUCCUGUCCCUGUGAAUACCUGGUCGAUUUAAUCCUGCGUGUGAGAGGGCACAGGAGAGAGGCGAGUGCUGUGAUCCACAUUGAUAUUAACUGAUCUUCUCGUUAAAAUCCCGCCAGCACAGCCAUUUUUUCAGGAUGCCCUGGCUAGGAUGGCGGGUCAGCAGAACAUACUGAAAUCCCCGCAGUGAUGAGGAACAGAGCUCGGUCAUGAGGGGUCAGCGCUGCCCCACCUACAGCCCAGCAGCUAAGGUAUGGUACCCUCCCAUUUCCAGAACUUUGACUGCAAACUUUUUGUUUCAAUCAAGUGCUAGAAAUCAGAGAUAACCGCAAAGGUUGAUGAAGACAAAAUGGCUGCACUGAGAGAGGGGAUGUGGGCAGGAGUGUCGUGGGCAGGGGCAGCGAGCAGAACUACGCAUAGGGAUUUAUGGUGGUUAAAGGCAGGGAGGAACACAGGCUAAAACGCUGGGAAUAACUGACAGGCUGCUGAUGUGCCGUCAGGGUGUGGAUCUGUGCAACACUGCUAAUUGUGGACCGAGAACAGACCGAGGUUUCGAAGUGCUAGUCAGAGGUGGCAGAGGAGCUUCAUGUGAUUCCUGUGGUCUAUGAAUGGAGUCAUGGGCCACCACACUUCAUUAGACUCCCCCCCAAACCAAGCUCAGCUUUGGGUUUGGUAUGGUCCGAGCUAUUGUACAAAGUGGGCUGGCUGACUGCGUGGGGGGCGGGUGGGAGACGCACCGGGUCGUGUUCCACUUUCUGCUGCUCUCCUCUCCUCUGUCCCGCUCCAGGGGAGUGUCCCUGGGGCCUGCCGGACGGGAGAUGGAGAGCUCAGGGCCCUGGGCCCGGUUCGCUGGGACUGCCUGCUUCUUCAUCUGUUCCUGUUACCAAUAUUGGGUCCUGCUGAGGUUGGGAGGUGCAACCUGGAAUGAAGAGAUCGGUUACUGAAGGAGAUGAGGUGGAGCUGGGGUGAGGGACACAGAGGAGAACAAGACCCAGCCUGCCAGAUAAGGAUGUGGAACCAACCAGCACCUCAUCCUCAUCCACCUCCCUGAAGACAAAGAUCUGAACAGCUUCAGAUCCCCCCCCCCCCCCCCCCAGAGUGC